CAACUGGAGAGUUUGAUCCUGGCUCAGAGCGAACGUUAGCGGCGGGCCUAACACAUGCAAGUCGAACGAGAACGCUCCUUCGGGAGUUAUUAAAGUGGCGCACGGGUGA
rnacentral:rRNA from 1 species